UGUGUAUCUCUACGCGUGUUUCGGCAAAUUCGCUUUUCCUAAUAUUAGGAAUUCUCCUGAUGAAGGCAAAAGCGAAUUUGCCGAAACACGCGUAGAGAUACACAAAA
rnacentral:pre_miRNA from 12 species